CUGCAUCUUACGCUUCUCUUCGAUCAGUUGUUCCUGGAGAACUUUAACCAAGUCCACAAGUUGCUAAAUGUGACAAAAUCGAUAGAAAAGCUGCUUGACAUCAACACUUGGAGUAACUACAUUAUCAAGCGAUGCACGACGCGCGUUUCUUUAACUGCAGAUAGAUUGGAGACGAGUCGGGAAGAGGAUUGCCUGGGGUCUGAUACCUACAACAUUUGCUGGUGUAGUGUCUUGUUAUUCGGAGUAUCAUCACAAGGGGCUGGUGUGUGAAGUGCUCCUUUGAUCCACGGCACAGAGGGCCUUGCUGGUUUGGAGCGUGGUGUGGCAGCCAAGGCACGGGCCUUCUUUGCUGGAGGAGG